rnacentral:tRNA from 1 species
GCCUCAAUAGCUCAGCUGGUAGAGCAACUGACUUGUAAUCAGUAGGUCGCUGGUUCGAUUCCGGCUUGAGGCU